rnacentral:lncRNA from 1 species
ACUCCAAAUUAAACUUAAUACAACAGAAAUCUCAUGUAAUAAUCAUGGGGGUUAUGGUAUAUGAGGCGAUGUGAACAAGGUGGUAACCUCAAAUCAUGCAAAGGAGAAGUUUAAAUACCAAAUCGGAGCUAGUUCGACGUUCGACUCCGGUCAAGGCGAGGUAAACGAUUUCUUUAGCGUCUUUCGAGGUUCCUUCUUCCUUCUUCUGAACUUUCCGUCUUCUUCGCUUCUUCUCUUUCUCUUUCCUUCUUACGUCGCCGCUAUGGCGGUAGUAACCGUUUUAGGGUAGUCUGGGGCUUUAGCUCGAGUUUGCUGAGUUUCAAUAUGAAAUUUCAACAAACUCCAAAAGAAAGAUUAUAGCUUUAGUGAUGUUUUGAUUCUAUUUCUGCAGAGUAACGGCGCUGGAAAAGGUCCCUUUAUCCCAGUGAUGGAUGCUCUUUAUAUAGAGCUUUGGAGGUACGAGGUUUCUCACUCCUGAGCUGGC